rnacentral:rRNA from 1 species
UUUUGCAUAAAUCCCACAAACGGAGGAAAAGAAACCAACAGGGAUUGCCUCAGUAACGGCGAGUGAAGCGGCAACAGCUCAAAUUUGAAAUCUGGCCUCCCGGGGUCCGAGUUGUAAUUUGUAGAGGAUGUUUUGGGUACCGCCCCGGUUUAAAUUUCUUGGAACAGAAUGUCAGAGAGGGUGAGAAUCCCGUCUUGGACCGGUGGUAGGGCCUGUGUAAAACUCCUUCGACGAGUCGAGUUGUUUGGGAAUGCAGCUCAAAAUGGGUGGUAAAUUUCAUCUAAAGCUAAAUAUUGGCCAGAGACCGAUAGCGCACAAGUAGAGUGAUCGAAAGAUGAAAAGAACUUUGAAAAGAGAGUUAAACAGUAUGUGAAAUUGUUGAAAGGGAAGCGCUUGCAACCAGACUUGAGCGCGACGGUUCCCCUAGCCUUUUGGCUAGGUUACUCCGUCGUGUCCAGGCCAACAUCGGUUCUGAGGGUCGGUCAAAGGCUCUGGGAAUGUAUCUACCCACGGGUAGACUUAUAGACCAGGGUGUCAUGCGACCUCUCGGGACCGAGGAACGCGCUUCGGCUCGGAUGUUGGCGUAAUGGUUGUCAGCGACCCGUCUUGCACACACGGAACACAAAUC